rnacentral:rRNA from 1 species
UUGCGUUAUGUUGGUGUAUGUCUGAUUUAAUAUUAUUGCUUAAUGGUUAAAGUCUGUGUAUAUUUAUUUAAGUCAAGUCUAUGUGCUGCUUAUAAAAGUAUUCAUGCGUUACUUUAAUAAUAUGUUAGAUGAAAUAUUAAUUGAUUUAGGACUUAAUAGUAAUGUUUAAUUAGUUUGUAAAUGUGAAUAUAGUUUAGCUCUGGUACACACCGCCCGUCACCCUCGGUU